UACGUAGGGAGCAAGCGUUGUCCGGAAUCAUUGGGCGUAAAGCGCGCGUAGGUGGCCCUGUAAGUCCGUUGUGAAAGUCAAAGGCUCAACCUUUGAAAGCCGAUGGAUACUGCAGGGCUAGAGUACGGAAGAGGCGAGUGGAAUUCCUGGUGUAGCGGUGGAAUGCGCAGGAUAUCAGGAGGAACACCAAUAGCGAAGGCAGCUCGCUGGGACGUUACUGACACUGGAGGCGCGAAAGCGUGGGGAGCGAACAGG
rnacentral:rRNA from 1 species